CUUGCCUACGGAGCUGUGAGGGGAACGGCACCUCCGUACCUUCAGGCUCUGAUCAGGCCCUACACCCAAACAAGGGCACUGCGUUCAUCCACCUCUGGCCUGCUCGCCUCCCUACCUCUGAGGAAGCACAGUUCCUGCUCAGCCCAGUCAAAACUCUUCGCUGCUCUGGCACCCCAAUGGUGGAACAAGCUUCCUCACGAUGCCAGGACAGCGGAGUCAAUCACCACCUUCCGGAGACACCUGAAACACCGCCUCUUUAAAGGAAUAUCUGGGAUAGGAUAAAGUUCCACUGGAUAUCAUGAGGUGAAUCCACCAAUUUUCAUUGGCAGCAGAGAACUGGAAGGAGAGACGGCCAAAGGAGGAAUUGGCUUUGGGGGUGACCAGAGAGAUAUACCUGCUGGAGCGCAUGCUACAGGUUGGUGCUGCUAUGGUGACCAGUGAGUGGAGAUAAGGGGGGACUUUACUAGCAGGGUCUUGUAGAUGACCUGGAGCCAGUGGGUUUGGCGACAAGUAUGAAGCCAGGGCCAGCCAACGAGAGCGUACAGGUCGCAGUGGUGGGUAGUAUAUGGGGCUUUGGUAUCCAGUUUGUUGAAUAGGGUAUUGGAGGCUAUUUUGUAAAUGACAUCACCGAAGUUGAGGAUCGGUAGGAUGGUCAGUUUUACGAGGGUAUGUUUGGCAGCUUGAGUGAAGGAUGCUUUGUUGCGAAAUAGGAAGCCAAUUCUAGAUUUAACUUUGGAUUGGAGAUUUUUGAUGUGAGUCUGGAAGGAGAGUUUACGGUUGAUCAGUCCAGAGAUAAUGUUUUGUUAGAAGACUGUCUGCACAGCCUGAUAAUGAACCGAAUUGAACUGUAUUGUAAUAGCAGGCUCACAUUAGGGCUGGGAGCUGCCAGGGACAUCACGAUUUGAUAUUAGGUGCUGAAACAUGCUGAUAGGAUAUGUAUUGUAAAUCAUGGAAAUAACUGUUGGAAAACAAGCUAUAGAAUGAAAAAUUCCGGCGUUUUGGCGCAGGUACAGUCGACUAGGACUAGCUAACGCUACCUAGCUAAAAAAUAUAUACACUAAGUGUAAAAAACAUUUGGAACACCUUUCUAAUAUUGAGUUGCACCCGCUUUUGCCCUCAGAACAGCUUCAAUUUGUCUGGGCAUGGACUCAACAAGGUGUCAAAAGUGGUCCACAGCGACAUUGACCAAAAUUGACUUCAAUGCUUCCCACAGGUGUGUCAAGUUGGCUGGAUGUCCUUUGGGUAGUGGACCAUUCUUGACACACACAGGAAACUGUUGAGCAUGAAAAACCCAUUAAUGUUGCAGUUCUUGACACACUCCAACCAGCGCGCCUGGCACCUACUACCAUACGCCGUUCAAAUGCACAAAUCUUUUGCCUUGCCAAUUUACCCUCUGAAUGGCACACAUACACAAUCCAUGUCUCAAUGUCACAAGCAUUUCGCUACACUACAAGCAUUUCGCUACACUCGCAUUAACAUCUGCUAACCAUGUGUAUGUGACCAAUAAAAUUUUAUUUGAAUAGUCUCAAGGCUUUUUUUUUUUU
rnacentral:lncRNA from 1 species